AUGCAGCAGCCAGGGCCGCGGGGCCAGAGCGCAGGGGGCUCCCGGUCCCUGGGAGGCAGCCAGAGGCGAUUCAGCUGCUCUGCAGGGAAAGGCGGCCGCGGGCAGCCGGCCCUGGGCAUCCCGCACCUGCAUCCGUCCCGCCCCGCAGCAGAGCUGCCGACACACCCUGGGGAGCGGGGCAGGAGGGAGCGGCCCUGCGGGAAAGGGGCCCAGUCGCAGCACAAAGCACCGAGUUCCUUCCUACGCACCCAUUCCCCUUCCCGCCCCGCUGCCAAGGCCAAUAGCGGGGUGCCGCGGGGCAGCCAGGCAGCCCCAGGGCCACCGCCGAGCCCGGGGCUAGGGGUGCCAGGUCAUCCCCCAAAGGGCUGCAGCGGGAGGGCAGGCAACCUCCUGGGUCUGCGGCUGCGGGGCAGGGCUCUGCGCGCUGCACUGGAGCAGGGCUCCGCAGCGAGGCUCUGCCAGAUGACCGACGCGCUUUGCUCCGUGUUCUCCCCAGCCGGCUGCUGCAGACCCUUCCCAGCAGGAGCAGAGCUGCCGGCCCAGCCCGAGGGGCGCUGCCAGUCCUGCAGCAAGGGGAGAGAGCAGGCGGCGGGCCGGACAGCGGCCCUAAGGGGCGGGGAGCAGGCCCAGCAUCCUGCCGCGCUGCCUUUGGGGCGCGAAUCCAGCGGGAACUGGGCCGGAGAGAAGGCAGGGGGCGGCGGUCCAGCUGCAGACACGUGCACGUUGUUCUCUGCACAAGCCUCGGCACCAGAACUCGGCCUGGUCCUGCUCUGGGCCCCUGGGGUGGGGAGCUGGAGGCUCGCCCUGCCCCACAGCAGCCAGACCUCGCUACCCGCUUCCCUGCGGCCACACGGCCUGCAGCUGCCCUCCUCCAGGCAGGGGGAGGAGCGGAGCAGAGCCAAGGGCCCCCAAAGCCUGGCACCCCAACAGUCGGGGGCGCCGGGAGAGGCACAGGGAGCACCCUGCGCUCCUGUCCCGUGCCCCCUUCCCAGCACCUCGCGCCGCAGGGCUGCCUGGCACUAA
rnacentral:lncRNA from 1 species